GAUGGCGGCAGAGCAGGGAGGAAACUUUUGCUUGAGUUUCUCUCUUCCAGUGUGGGCACUAUUUGUUAUAGUUAAAAAGUCCCCCAAUUCUUUGACCUUGCUUCCAAAGGUGGAGCCCAUUUCCCCUCCUGCUGAGCGUGGGCCACACUUAGCGACUGGCUUUCAAUGAAGAGAAUGUAACAGAGGUGAAAGUGUGUGACAUUCGAGGAAAGGCCAUAAAAGACAUUGGUGCUUCAGCUUUGCUCUCGCGGCUGUCUGACUCUGGGGGAAGCCAGCCACCACGUCAUGAGGACACCCAAACAGCCUACGGAGAGGCCCACGUAGGGAGGAGCUGAGGCCCCCUGCCAGCAAGCAGCCCUAGCCCGCCAGCUGUGUGAGUGAGCGAGCCUUUUUGGAAGUGCAUCCUCCUGUCCCAGUCCAGCCCUCAGAUGGCUGCAGCCCUGCUAGCAUCUUGACUGCCGCCUCAUGAGGGACCUCAAGCCAGAACCAACAGCCACGUGGUGCCAGAAUUCCUCAUCUGCAGCAGCCGUGUGAGAUCAUAACUGUUUAUUGCCUUUUUAAGCCACUGAGUUUUGGGGUCGUUUGUUACUCAGCAGUAGAUGAUUAAUAUGCUGUCAUGCAGCUGUCUUGGAACCAGGAGGGGCAAGACUGAGGGCAGAAGCCACUGUGGUGAAACUGGCGGAGACAUGGAAUCUGGAUUCCUGGUGAUAUGGAAUAAAAAGGCCUACCUCAUUGGGCUCGUGUGGGUGAGGAGAACUGAAGAGUCUGAGAGCGCGGCACGAGCCAGAGGCUACGGAAAACACUGCCCUCCUACACUCCACCUUGGAGAGACCCAGAAAAGAACAAGCUUCAUUUGUAAAAAAGGAAAACAACUCAGGCAAUGGGGGUGGCUUAAAGGCACUCUACAGUGUGCAGAUGCCUUCCACUUCUUCCAUCUGCCCUGUCUCUCCAAGAACCCCUAUGGCCCCGGUCUCAGAACAGAGCUGAGUGCAGAAAUGAAAAUCUAUGGCUCUGUGUUCCAAAACGAUGAAGAAUUUCAAGAUGGUGGCAGUGGUAAAAUCUUUCUCCAGGAAAAAUCUGUCCUUGGCCCAAUGUGUAAACACUUGCUGAGGAACUUGGAAUAACUUGCAGUGUCUUGCAGUAUUGUGAAACCAGCAACUUGUUCACAAUUCUUCUGAAUUUCUUGGGAAAUUUGAAGUGGAGUACCUGUACCAACAUGAAAUGACACGAAUUUAAGUGACGCUCAACAACGAAAAGCAAAAAGAACCAAAGAGGAAGCAACUGAAACAACAUCUGGAUGUAUUUAAAAAUAUACAAUGCCUCCAAAAUCAGGUGUCAUUAAUGAAAAUUCUGAAGAAAUGCCACCGGACAUAGCCAACGCACCUACGCUGUUGUUAUUCAUUUCCUGCUUUUCACAGAAAACAAUUUUGUUGCAUGGAAGAUCGUGAACUUCAAAGGGCAGAGGGGAAACUGUCCCUUGGCCUCUACCCCUCCAAGGCCCCACUUUUUUGUCAACACUCCUUGGACGCAGCAGAAGUAUGAACAUAAUAUGGUCCUGAAUGAGGCUGAGUCUUUGGGCGCAGAAGACCCGGGUUAAUAAAAAUAGGAAGGUAAGAAAAGAAAAGAAAAAUCAAGACACAUCAUAGGACUAAAUUCCUAUUAUUUAUCCACUCAGGAUUGACCACCCCUUUGGGCCAGAUAGUUGUACCCCCAUGUACCAGGUGGGCACAUGAAGACACAAGAAGUGCUGUGAUGGUUCAUUUUGCACGUCACCUUGCGUGGAGUAUGCCAACUCAUUGUUUGGUCAAACACUAGUCUGGACAUGGUGGUAAAGGUAUUUUUUAGAUGAGAUUAACACUUAAAUCAGUAAAGCAGGUUACCCACCAUACUACGGGUGGGCCCUGUCCAAUCAGUUGAAGGCAUUAAGAACAAAGAUUGAGGUUUCCUAAAGAAGAUGGAAUUCUCCUUGAGACUACAACAUAGAAACCCUAUCUGAGUUUCCAGCCUGUUGCCCUGUGGAAUUCAAACUCAGGACUCCGGUCUAUGACAUUAACCCUCACUUAACUUUUCAGCCUGCCAGCCUGCCCUAUGGAUUUCGGACUUGCCAGCCACACAAUUCCUUAAAAUAAAUCUCUCCGUCUCUGU
ensembl:lncRNA DRAIC downregulated RNA in cancer, inhibitor of cell invasion and migration